UCUUCGCAAACGCUUUGAGGGCUGAAAUGGGCACCCGGCUCUUCAAACUCCUUCCGGAGAGGGAACUCAAGCUCCCAACGGAAUUCGCGAAAGGGAGGGGGACAUAGAAAAGGAAGGCGCAUAUGUUGGGCCCUGUCUCAGUGAUCUCUAAGCUCAGUUUCCCCGAGUUCGGUCCUGCACGUGCUUGACUCCAGCCAGCCACCGUAGGCCCCGCAACCCGCAGUAUACUUUCUUAUGGCCCUUCUACCGGUAGCUCCGCGCUUGCUCACCAACUUGCCUGCCUUGCGCAUCCACCCCUCCUUCCAUUUCUUCUCCCCCGCAGCAGCCUCUGCCGGCCGCGACUGCGCCUGCGUACUGACGCCCCCACCGGCCCCGCGUGGGAGGAGGGGAUGGAAAUGAGGCUGGGCCGUGCAGCUCACGCGCGCUCCCUCCCCUCCCGUCGCUGGGCACGCGCCGGGCCGUGCAGCUUUGCCGCGUCCGAGGGCAGCGCAGCGGCUGCCGCGGCCGCUGCGGGAGGGGCCCGGAGCCCCGCCCCCGGGGAGGGGCCUUCCGCAGGUGAGGCGGGCACGGGUCCGGGCCUGGACGCCUGGGUCAUCGGGAAGUGGAUUGGGGGCUGGACGCCAAGAUCUCCCGGAAAGGAAUCGAUUGGCGUCCUGGUGCAUAGGUUCCGGAGGGACUGCAUUGGUGCCUGAGCCUUGGACUCCCCUACCCUCCACCCUGGGGAUGAAAUUUAGCAACAAGAAGGAAGCAGUUCACGCUGCGUCAAUGGACUGAGACUAAACCAAGAUUCGGGCCCUAUAGCCCUAUCCCCGUCAGCCUGGUAAUCACCGGCAUCGCCUACCUCCCUCUGGGUUCCUGGGCCAGCAAGAUGCUGGAACGAGAUGCAGAGUCCGCGGCCGGGGACAACGAUCCUAGUCCUACUGGCAAGGAACAAGUAACCAAGGGAGGAGUUCUAUAGCCACUUCUGAAAGCCCUGGAGAAAGGGAGAUACACGUGGCCCAGGGGAGCGGAGAUGGACUUCAUGAGCAUCCAGGCUGCCAGCCCAGGACCCACAGAGGGAUAAACAACACCCAGGAAUGGGCUCAGAGGGCUAGAACCCCAAUUACCUGCCACCACAGAGGGCCUGACGAUCUCACCUUGGAGCUGCCGCCUACUGUCCUGGAGACCGGAGAGGCUGAAGAGGCGGCACUAGAGGCCUGCAGGGUAGCAGCUGCAUAGCUGGGUCCUGCCGGGUCACUGGCUGCGGCUACCAAGGGAGAAAGUGGAGCCGGGGUUCCAACCCUGGACUCACUGAGGACUCAAGCUUCCAUGCUCACCUGGGGGGGUCUUAUUGAUCCUGCUGAAGAAGAGGGCCCCAGGUCUCAAGGAGCUGGCACCCUCAUCCUCCUCCUUCACGCGGAACUGGCCAAGCUUCGUCACCUUCUAAGGUCUCACAAGUUCCGUUAGCUUCACGGCACGUGGCAGAGGCUGCUGCAGAUCCGAGCAAAUCCUCUCCCGCAUGCCCGAAUUCCUGACCACAGAAUGGGAGGGAGCACUGUGUGCCACUUCUGGAACACAGAAAUGCUCCAGGCUCUUUCCCACUCUGCCAGCUGGACACAGAGCCAUAAGCUCAAGGAGCGUGAGUCCCUGGAUGACCAGCCAAACACCCCCUAAGACAGGUCCCCAGCAACCCUGUGAGGAUCGGGAAACUGAGGCCGGAAAGGUUAAGUCACUUGCCCAAGGUCACACAGCUAAGUGGUGGACCUAGCGUCUGACUCCAGAUCCCACGAUGGUAACUGUUGGACUACUCCUUUGCCAAGUCAGCUGCCCCUUUCUCCCAUUCCCCUCUGAGAUCCUGUGGUUUGCCCUUCCCAGACAUCCUCUAGGGAAUCACCUAUGGGAAGGAUGACAAACCCACUUCAGAGACCUCUGGCAACCAGCCUCCUCCUAAUCCCCUGGGGAGACCAGCUGCCCCAUCUUCCCAGCCCUCUGGGACUCAAUGCUGGCCCCUCACCUCUCUCCUUGCCCAGGACUGAGGACCCAGCUCCCACCCCAGGUACCUUGCUGUAGGGCUGGCUGCAAACAAUUUUGACGCGGUCCCAGCGCUUCUCUGCUGCUGCCCGGACCAACUUGUCAGGCCCAAAAAUGCGAACACGAUUGGGGUUUGAGCCACUGCGGCUCUCGGAAGGGGACAUAAAAGAUGAAGUGACCAGCAGGACCUGGGAGAAGGAACAUCAAAGGAGAACCAGGGCUGGCUGACUUAAAUGACACCUCCCACAGGCUGGGAAGAAAGCAGGGGCCUGAGUAGGGCGUAGGGAGUGGCCAGAUCCAGCCUGCACCUCCACAUGCCUCAACUCCUCUCUCUUCCCUUGCUUCUGGGCUUCCGGGUCUUCUCUGUCUAGCCACAGAGGCCGCCAUACGGCCUUAAAGAACCCUCCCAGCGGAGAAUAAUCACAAUGACUGGCAUAAUGUUCAAAAACCUUUUGGAAAUAUGCGGCUGAGUUCAUGGAAAGCAGAGGAAGUAUCGCGGAGGGCAGACAUGAGAGCGGAAUCCAGAG